rnacentral:rRNA from 1 species
GACGAACGCUGGCGGCGUGCUUAACACAUGCAAGUCGAACGGUAAGGCCCUUCGGGGUACACGAGUGGCGAACGGGUGAGUAACACGUGGGUGAUCUGCCCUGCACUUCGGGAUAAGCCUGGGAAACUGGGUCUAAUACCGGAUAGGACCACUGCCUGCAUGGGUGGUGGUGGAAAGCUUUUGCGGUGUGGGAUGGGCCCGCGGCCUAUCAGCUUGUUGGUGGGGUGAUGGCCUACCAAGGCGACGACGGGUAGCCGGCCUGAGAGGGUGACCGGCCACGCUGGGACUGAGAUACGGCCCAGACUCCUAAGGGAGGCAGCAGUGGGGAAUAUUGCACAAUGGGCGCAAUCCGGAUGCAGCGACGCCGCGUGAGGGAUGACGGCCUUCGGGUUGUAAACCUCUUUCAGCACCGACGAAGCGCAAGUGACGGUAGGUGCAGAAGAAGGACCGGCCAACUACGUGCCAGCCGCCGCGGUAA